rnacentral:rRNA from 2 species
UACGUAGGGUGCAAGCGUUAAUCGGAAUUACUGGGCGUAAAGCGUGCGCAGGCGGUUUUGUAAGACAGGCGUGAAAUCCCCGGGCUCAACCUGGGAAUGGCGCUUGUGACUGCAAAGCUGGAGUGCGGCAGAGGGGGAUGGAAUUCCGCGUGUAGCAGUGAAAUGCGUAGAUAUGCGGAGGAACACCAAUGGCGAAGGCAAUCCCCUGGGCCUGCACUGACGCUCAUGCACGAAAGCGUGGGGAGCAAACAGG